rnacentral:lncRNA from 1 species
GGAGAAGAAAUAUUGGCUUGAAAUUUCUUCCCAUGACCAAAACAUUGGUGAUCUUAUCUUCCUAAAUAUCAUCGGUCGUUGUUCAUGGCAUUUCAGAAAAUUUCAAGCCUAUGGCCUACUCCUCUUCAAUGGUAAGGGAUCAAGUUAUCUAUCACGGCAUUAUAUUUAAAUUUCUCUUAAUAAAUUACAUAAAAAGAAUAUAUUAUACAAUAAUUAUGAAACGUAUAAUUCUUUGUGUUGACGCGUGUUUGAUCAAUCAUGAUUGUAUUAAAUAGUUUAUAGAAAGAUUUUUUUUCUUAAAAAGUAUUUUUAAAACAUGAGUGACGUCAAAAUUUUGUCGUUUUCAUUAAGUACGAUCUAUUAAUUCUUCAUGGUCAUAAUUGAUAAUGUGCAAUAAAUUUGCAGGUGAAUAUUACAAAAAAUAAUUCAUCAUUGGGAGAAGACAAAGCAUCGUCCAUGCGCUUCUCCAUCUCUUAAGAUAAACAACUCCAGCUAUGAAAAUAAUACAUGAUGGGGGAGAUGCGUAUGGCGAAACCAAGAUUUUGAUUCAAUACUCAAUGGGGGCCAUAAUGGAGAAUUAAUAAACUUAAGUGGGCAAAAGAAAAAUAACAUAAACUUAACGAGAUAGAAUGUAAAUGUCACAUAGAAAUGGGGUAAAUUUCAGUGAAAGUGGUGCAGAGAGGGUGCUUCUUGGGCAUUCGUGUUCUUAUGUUUGAUUUUGUAUUAUUCUCAGCUUGAAUGAAUAUACAUAAUUUGAU